UACGUAGGGGGCAAGCGUUGUCCGGAUUUAUUGGGCGUAAAGCGCUCGCAGGUGGUUCGUUGCGUCGUGCGUGAAAGACCCCGGCUCAACUGGGGAGUGUCGUGCGAUACGGGCGGACUGGAGGCCAGUAGGGGGAUGCGGAAUUCCGGGUGUAGUGGUGAAAUGCGCAGAUAUCAGGAGGAACACCAAUUGCGAAGGCAGCUCGCUGGGACGUAACUGACGCUGAGACGCGAAAGCGUGGGGAGCAAACAGG
rnacentral:rRNA from 1 species